rnacentral:rRNA from 1 species
UACGUAGGGCGCAAGCGUUAUCCGGAAUUAUUGGGCGUAAAGAGCUCGUAGGCGGCUUGUCGCGUCGGCUGUGAAAACCUGGGGCUCAACCCCGGGCCUGCAUUCGAUACGGGCGGACUAGAGUUCGGUAGGGGAGACUGGAAUUCCUGGUGUAGCGGUGAAAUGCGCAGAUAUCAGGAGGAACACCGGCGGCGAAGGCGGGUCUCUGGGCAACUACUGACGCUGAGGAGCGAAAGCGUGGGGAGCGAACAGG